UACGUAGGGUGCGAGCGUUGUCCGGAAUUAUUGGGCGUAAAGGGCUCGUAGGCGGUUUGUUGCGUCGGGAGUGAAAACUCAGGGCUUAACCCUGAGCCUGCUUCCGAUACGGGCAGACUAGAGGUAUGCAGGGGAGAACGGAAUUCCUGGUGUAGCGGUGAAAUGCGCAGAUAUCAGGAGGAACACCGGUGGCGAAGGCGGUUCUCUGGGCAUUACCUGACGCUGAGGCGCGAAAGCUAGGGGAGCAAACAGG
rnacentral:rRNA from 1 species